AGGCGCUGUCCCGCUCUUGCUACGGUGGCCUGGAGGAGUGGCGAAACCGGAACAGAGAAUUUAUCACUUCUGGGACUCACAGUCGUGAUGUCUUUCAAGAGGGAAGGAGACGAUUGGAGUCAACUCAAUGUGCUCAAAAAAAGAAGAGUCGGGGACCUCCUAGCCAGUUACAUUCCAGAGGAUGAGGCGCUGAUGCUUCGGGAUGGACGGUAAGAGCAAGGAGUGGCUCAAGCCUGAGGGUUCUGCGGUUAGAGGCUCAAUAGACUUUUUUUUUUUUUUCCUUUGAGACGGAGGUCUCGCGGUGCUGCCCAGGCUGCCCUCGAACUCUAGGGCUCAAGUGAUCCUGCCUCCUCAGCGUCGCGAUUAGCUGGGUUUACAAGCGCAUGCCACCACGCCUGGCUUCAACAAACUUUUGUUAUUAAUUAGGACAGCAGGAGUACCUAGGAUUCUUUGGCGGCCAGUGAGGACUGGAAGAAGUGGAGAUUGGGUCACCAGGGAGUUGGGUUUUGCAAAGACUGCUAGGACAGGGUGGGACCUAUGGCAGGGACGGGCCCAACCCUCUUCCCCUGGACCACUUAUCCUCUUCUCUACCCCUGCUCAGCUUUGCUUGUGCCAUCU
rnacentral:lncRNA from 1 species